rnacentral:rRNA from 1 species
UACGUAGGGACCGAGCGUUGUCCGGAUUCAUUGGGCGUAAAGAGCUCGUAGGCGGCUGUUCAAGUCGAACGUGAAAACUCGGAGCUCAACUCCGAGCCUGCGUUCGAUACUGGACGGCUAGAGUCUGGUAGGGGGAUCUGGAAUUCCUGGUGUAGCGGUGGAAUGCGCAGAUAUCAGGAGGAACACCGGUGGCGAAGGCGGGUCUCUGGACAGCUCCUGACGCUGAGGCGCGAAGGCUAGGGGAGCAAACGGG